AAAAAGAAUCAGAAGAAAGUAAGCGCGAACAUAUAUUUUUCGUUGAAUCUUUUUUUCAUCUUCUUUUUUCUGUAUUUUUAACUUUUUCGUUCCUUAGAACGAUAGAAAAAGGGACAAUAAUGUCGUUGGUGUAUUAAAA
rnacentral:ribozyme from 1 species